rnacentral:rRNA from 1 species
CAGUAGCCGCGGGAAAACGUAGGUGGCAAGCGUUGUCCGGAAUUAUUGGGCGUAAAGGGCUCGCAGGCGGUUUCUUAAGUCUGAUGUGAAAGCCCCCGGCUCAACCGGGGAGGGUCAUUGGAAACUGGGAAACUUGAGUGCAGAAGAGGAGAGUGGAAUUCCACGUGUAGCGGUGAAAUGCGUAGAGAUGUGGAGGAACACCAGUGGCGAAGGCGACUCUCUGGUCUGUAACUGACGCUGAGGAGCGAAAGCGUGGGGAGCGAACAGGAUUAGAGACCCGCGUAGUCCCUGUCUCUUAUAA